UACAGAGGGGGCAAGCGUUGUUCGGAAUUACUGGGCGUAAAGAGCUCGUAGGCGGUUUGUCGCGUCUGCCGUGAAAGUCCGGGGCUCAACUCCGGAUCUGCGGUGGGUACGGGCAGACUAGAGUGAUGUAGGGGAGACUGGAAUUCCUGGUGUAGCGGUGAAAUGCGCAGAUAUCAGGAGGAACACCGGUGGCGAAGGCGGGUCUCUGGGCAACUACUGACGCUGAGGAGCGAAAGCGUGGGGAGCAAACAGG
rnacentral:rRNA from 1 species